UACGUAGGGUGCAAGCGUUGUCCGGAAUUAUUGGGCGUAAAGAGCUCGUAGGCGGUCUGUCGCGUCGGCUGUGAAAUCCCGGAGCUCAACUCCGGGCCUGCAGUCGAUACGGGCAGACUGGAGUUCGGUAGGGGGAGUGUGGAAUUCCUGGUGGAGCGGUGAAAUGCGCAGAUAUCAGGAGGAACACCCGUAGCGAAGGCGGCACUCUGGGGCCGAUACUGACGCUGAGGGAGCGAAAAGCGUGGGGGAGCGAACAGG
rnacentral:rRNA from 1 species